rnacentral:rRNA from 1 species
ACCCGCUGAACUUAAGCAUAUCACUAAGCGGAGGAAAAGAAACUAACUAGGAUGGCCUCAGUAACGGCGAGUGAAGUGGCCAAAGCCCAAGAUGGUAAUCUCCGUUUUACGGCGAAUUGUAAUCUAUAGUGGCAUUGCUUACCGGGCGGUGGCGCAGAAGUGCCAUCGAAAAGGCCGCCAUAGAGGGUGAUAGCCCCGUACGUGGUGCCGCCGCCUAACAAGCAAGUCAACAAAGAGUCGGGUUGUUUUGUAUUGCAGCCCUAAGCUGGAGAUAAACUUCUUCUAAGGCUAAAUAUAUGUAGGAAAUCGAUAGCGAACAAGUACUGUGAAGGAAAGAUGAAAAGCACUUUGGAAAGAGAGUCAAAAGACCUGAAACCGUUGAGGAGGAAGCGGUAGAGAUAUAUUCUACAUUGAAGCGCUGGGAAAUUGGCCUAACUUUUCAUGUUAACUGGUACGUCAAAGGCCUGAGAUAUGAUUAAGGGAAGCCAAUCACUUACGCUCCUUUGUGAGACCGAAUGGAGUCUUUCAGUCACAAAAGCCUAUUAAGCCUCGUGUUGUUCGCAAUGCAGCUUAAUUUUACUGGUGACUGAGAAGCUUGAGAAUGCCUUGUGCGAUUCGGUCAAAAUGGUCUUUACCGGCUCGUCUUGAAACACGAACCAAGGAGUCUAUCACACACGCGAGUAUGCCGGUUCAAAAACCGACAUGCGCAAUGAAAGUAAUUGAUGCCAAGCGCAAGCAGCAGCAUCGACCGACCAUGGUCCUCUGGAGAAAGGUUUGAGUAUGAGCGUGUUUUAUAGGACCCGAAAGAUGGUGAACUAUGCCUGUGUAGGGUGAAGCCAGGGGAAACUCUGGUGGAGGCUCGUAGCGAUACUGACGUGCAAAUCGUUCGUCUAACAUGGGUAUAGGGGCGAAAGACUAAUCGAACCAUCUAGUAGCUGGUUCCCUCCGAAGUUUCCCUCAGGAUAGCUGGGACAAUUGCGCAGUUUUAUUAGGUAAAGCGAAUGAUUAGAGGACUCGGGGGCUACAUGCCCUCGACCUAUUCUCAAACUUUAAAUUGGUAAGAACCUUGGCCUUUUCUUAAGUGAGGCUCAAGGGCUCAAUGCGUGUCCUUAGUGGGCCAUUUUUGGUAAGCAGAACUGGCGAUGAGGGAUGCUCCUAACGUUGGGUUAAGGCGCCAAACUGCAUGCUCAUCAGAUACUAUAAAGGGUGUUGGUCCAUCCAGACAGCAGGACGGUGGCCAUGGAAGUUGGAAUCCGCUAAGGAGUGUGUAACAACUCACCUGCCGAAUGGACUAGCCCCGAAAAUGGAUGGCGCUUAAGCAUGCGGCCGAUACCCAACCAUUGCCAUGAGAGUUAAAUGGCAAUGAGUAGGAGGGCGUGGGCGUCGUAGCGAAGCCUCUGGCGUGAGCCUGGGUUGAACGGCGUCUAGUGCAGAUCUUGGUGGUAGUAGCAAUUAUUCAAAUGAGAAUUUUGAAGGCCGAAGUGGAGAAGGUUUCCGUGAGAACAGCAAUUGGUCACGGGUGACUCGAUCCUAAGACAUGGGGGAAGUCCCUGUUAAGUGCACGCUUGUGCGUAGUCGAAAGGGAAUGAGGUUAAUAUUCCUCAAGCUGGAUGUGGAUGUUGUAUGGCAACAUAAAUGAGCCUGGGAACGCCGGCGCGAGCCUCUGGAAGAGUUAUCUUUUCUUUUUAACAGAUCAGUGACCAUGAAAUGGGAUUAUCCCGAGAUAUGGUGACAAAUCUGGAAGAGCAUUUCGCUUUCCGAAAUGUCAGGUGCGCUCGCGACGGUCCUUGAAAACCCAGGUGAGAUAGUUUCGCACCAGGUCGUACCCAUAACCGCAUCAGGUCUCCAAGGUU